rnacentral:lncRNA from 1 species
GAGGACAGGGCUCCCAAAGGAAAAACAUCAAAACAUGUUCUGAUGUUCUGUCUCUGUGCGGUGUGCUGGGGAAUGCAUGGGGUUUAAAGUCAGGUAGAUUUGGGCCUGCCACUUUACAUCUGUAGCUGAUGUUUAAAGGAGAUGAUAAAAAUGCUGCAACCCAGAUAAUGAUCACCUUACUCUUCAAAAAUACUGCCCAAGGAAGGGAAGAUACACACAGAGGAGAAGGUGGUGUGAAGAUGGAAGCCAAGACUGUUGAUACCAGUUGGAGAGCACCAAGAACUACCCGCAGCCACUGAAAGCUAGGAGAGAGGCAUAGGACUGUCUCCUUCAGACCCUCCAGAAAGACCAAACCUGCCCGUGCCUUGAUUUCAGACUUUUGGCCUCCCACAUUGUGAGAGAAUAAAAUUUUGUUUUUGAAGCCAU